ensembl:lncRNA
CUUUGCCGUGGUUUGCAUUGUUGGGCCGCGAGCUGCAGACUCAAGCGUCGUCGGGUUGAGGGCUGCUGCAAGGAGAAGAAAAUGUCCCCUUGUAAUAACUGAUGCCAUGGCAACAAGCUGUUGAUACAACAAACAUGAUUUUUAAAUUAAAAUGUGGAACACAGAAAUCUCGCAGAUACCGAGCGAAAUUUGCAUUUAUAGGAAAUUGUAUAUUUCUGGCCAACUGUUCAAUAUUCACUUUCAAUUCAGGUCUGUUUAAGGUCACUACCAACUCCUUAGGAAAUAACUGCUGUUUCGGGCUAAAUAUAUCGUUAUGCUGAUUAGUAAUUUUGUCAGUUUGUUUUUCCUGCCCUUUGGCCAAAUAAAAUAAAGUAAAUUAAGUUGCUACAACAAACACUACAACAAAACAGGAAACCAAGGAAAUGUUUCACCUCUAACAGCAAACCUAUGUGUCAUGAAUUAAGCAUUGGUCUAUUGAGGUUCAGAAAGGCUUUUACAAAUAUUUAAGACAAAAUACAAUGUUUCAACGCCACUCUCCAUGCCAGUAACUCACUCUUAAUCCUUCGCAGGACAUCUUUUUUUCACUCUUUUUCUCAGUUCACCAUUAUACCACCUUUGCUCUAUCACUCACUUUCUGUUUCUAUCUCUCUCCUCCAUCCCUCUCUCUCUCAUCUUACAUAACAAUCCAAGCUCCAAACUCAACUUAACUCUCCUUGAUCUGCAGCCUUUUCCCGCUUCUAAAUGACUCACUUCUGUUAUAACAUUUCAGCCUGUGAGAGACGAAGCGGUGAGGGCGGGAGGAGGGGUGGCAGACAGACCAUGACAUGAGAGGAGAGGAGAGGAAACGCAGGUUUAAUUAUUCAUACCUACUGCAGCAAAAAGAGAGCGAGCGAGGGAGAGAAAGACACUGGCAGAAAGAUGGACAGAAGAGGGCGAGAGAGCGACUGACCCAUAUGGGGAGGUAUUCCAUGUGCAGUGGUGCACUCUGGGAGCUGAAGUUGUGCCGCCCCGGGGCCGUGGGUGCGAGGGAACUCCACCAUAAGCUGCCAGAGGAACUCAGAGAGGAACAUAGAGCAAAGGAGGGAGAGAGAGAGAGAGAUUCAUGAAUCCCAUUAAGCUUAUUAGGUUUUCUUUUGCUUCCAUAGCUCACUUUUGCUGUUAUCUUUGAAUUUGUUUUUUACUUUCCCCCCGAGUCUACCACACCCUUUGAACAUGAAGAAUGCCGAGAGUGGAAGUUUUAUCCUUGAUGCUCACUCGGAACAUCAUAAUUUAAGGGGUCUGUUUGUUUGUGAGUCUCUCUGUGCAAAAGUGUGUUUAAAACGUGUCCACGAACCGGGGUGAGAGCGAACCAGAGGACCCAAUUCAUCGUUGUCCCACCCUGGAGUUGUUUCAUCCCAGAGUUGGCGUGCUGCUACGGGGCUUGGUGCUGAGAGAGUGCAGGGCCUCCCCCAUUCGACGCUGGUACCCCCCUGAGACCAGCUCUCUUUCAUCUCCCCCGUCUCCUCGGGGGGCCCAACAACAAACCACCGAUGGAGGAAGCGGGGAAAGCAACAUCGAAGAAGAAAAGUUUUGGCCAGGGGGGCACGACUGCAAAGUUUAUAAGUUCCCAGCUAGAGGUCAACCUGUUCGUUUUAUCUCAGUUUGGUUGGAUUGGUGUCAAACCAAACUUUUUUCUCACCAGGGGUCAUAGAUUUGAAACAACAGAGGUUUUAUGCGAACGUAAAAACAAAAUUGUCUUUACUCGAUCUCUGAUCCUUUCACCGCAAGGACAGUAGCCGCCUGGACGAGGUUGUUGAAACUGUGACUUGUUAAUAUUUCAGAAGAAGCAGCCUGUACGGUGGUGCCCAGUCAAUUAGCCGUGAUGUCACUUUAUUGAUGGUGGGAGUGAGGGAGGAUGGGAUGUGAAUAGAGGAGGGGGAGUGAGGGGGGGUUACGGAGAUGAGUUGUGGCAGGCAAAAUAAAUAUUCGAACAUUUACUUCAAAAAAACCUUUCCCCUUCCUAUUCUGUGAGAGCUGCGCCUCAUCCACCGCCGAGCCUUUAUUCCUCUCCCUCCUUCCUCUCUUAAUUGCUGCUUGCCGAGUCCCUUGUUCUUUCUUCUCAUCCCCCCCUGUGUUUCCUUGUCUCCCUACUCAGCUCCCUAUGUCUCCCGUCUGUCUCCUUUCUUUCAUUUUGAUGUUGGCCUCUUGACAACUCUUUCCCCUUCCUCGUUCCCUCCGUUCUAACUCUCUGUGCUCCUUCUCUCAUCUCCUUCAUCCUUCUCUUCUUGGUUCUCGAUGAGACUUUGUGUUUUUUAGGGAGCAGCGAGUUGUCACGGACGCGACGACUAAACUUCCGAUAGAAUCAAUGUUUAAUUCAGAUGACUGCAGGCCGUUGACAGAAAAAGUCGGAGCCUUUCAUCUAUAAAAGGACUGAGAAAAGAGGGGGAUUGGGAGAGAUGGAGCGAGGGGACUGACUGGAUUAAUGGAAUUAUCAUCGGUUGUAUCUUUAGCAAUGAGAAGGACCCAUCAGCACUCUGAGAGCAAGUUUGUCAAUUGAUUGCCCUUUCACCUGAUGUUCAUGCUCCCUCCUGUCUUCCUGUAUCUGGACCAUCACACCUCUCAUUUUUACUUCCACAACUGUCUUCUCCUUAUUAGGCCGUGUUACAGGCGGCAGAGUAAUGCUUCAAGGCUCAUAUUUAAAAUAUCGACACACGUAAAGUAAGAGCCGUUUCCUGAAGGUCAUAGACGUGGCACAGAUGCCUACACGCAUGCACACAGAAUACCUCACAACUGCCUGCACGUGUGUGUUUCUGUAUGAACGAGGUCACGUGUACGCGACCAUCCGCCCUGCUGUCUCUGUGUUCAAAUGUCAACCUUUUGAAUUUAACCCGAGGUGGUGUCCGUCGCCGACGACCACGUGCAGGAUACAGGAUAGAGACGUGAAGAGGAAACACAGGUUUAAUUAAGUGUAUGAUAUUAAAUAGCAAUAUAUAAAAGACUUAGAGGGAUUGAGUGUUGGCAUUUUUCAUCUUCUAUCUGCUGCAGAGCAGAUUGAAGUGUCACGCGGAGAGAGGAGAGAAUCUGUUCCCGUACAGGUGGUGAACAGAAGGGGAAGGCAGGGUGGAGAGAGGGAGGUGAGGAGAGCGAGAGGAGGGAGGAGGGCUGCUACUCCCAUUACAUAAUGAAUGAGGUGAGAAGCCACAUAUUUGCCUUUGAGGCUUUAUUCAUUUUAUUCUGCUGUUUUUUAGAGCCCUUGAACACGGCGCCUUUACGCCCACAAACCUGUCUUACUGUACUUGGGGGGGACAUUGUAGGCCUAUAACCACCUCACAUAUCCAUAACUCCAACCGUAACCCGGAUUGGAGAUUUUAUCCUACUUCCUUUCCGCAACGUGAUGAAUGAAUAACACAUACCGUACACACCUCACACAGCGCAUGUGUCUGCCUGAUUCCUGCGUGACAGCAGACAUGCAUGUGUAUGUGCAUGCUCCUAAAAUGUAUCUGUGUUUCAUUGUGUGUGUAUUCAUGCAUUUGUGUCAGUACAAGUGACGAGCUCACAGGCUGCUGAAAGAAUGACAGGUGACCACACUAUAAAGAUAGAAAUGUCAAGCUGAACUGGGCGAUUGGGGGGGUUGUCAGAGGGGGUGGUGGGCAGAGGCAAGAGGCCCGGAGUGAUGAGUACAUCACUGCAGCCCUGUCACUUCCUAUUAGUCCCCCAACACACACAAAUACCCAUGUCUGUGAUUGUAAUUAAUUUAUCAGGCUGGUUUGUAAUGUGUGUUUUUCUGGUCUGUGCACGUGGCAGUGCACGUACCACCAGUGUGUGUGCAUGAACAUACAUACGUUCACACAUACUGUAUAUGUGAGUGGGAUGUGUGUGUGUGUGUGUGUGUGUGUGUGUGUGUGUGUGUGUGUGUGUGUGUGUGUGUGUGUGUGUGUGUGUGUGUGUGUGUGUGUGUGUGUGAAUAUGGGCAUCAUUGUAAAGAAUGAGAGCUGACAGGCUGGGCGAUGUCAAGCUUUGGGUUAAACCAAUGGGAUGCUGCUGCUCACGCUGCAACCUCAUACCCCGCUAUACACUAGCUAUACACUGCCAGCUCAAAGCAUCUACUAGGCAUUCAGCUAAAAUGCAUUUCUUUGAGUCCAUUUUGUGUUUUGUUUUAUCUCACAAGCACAAGUCUUCAGUCAGACCUGAGACUAAUUUACCUCUUUGCAAGCGUUUACCUGACGUGUCCUUGAGUAAGACACUAAGCACAGAUACACCUCUGCUCCCAAACUAAUCCUGUGCACAUAUUAGGUUAUGUUGUUUUUUUCUGAUUUUUUCUGCCAUUACGUUUGUAUUUAAAAUUCCAGAAACAGGUUGUUUUUAACAUCCACAGAUGAGAGGAGGUGUUUUCUUUGUGGUGACUGGAGAAUUACCUUUGUUUUGCUCUUCUGUUGUAGUUGUGCCAAAAGACAUACUGAAAACAAUUCUCUAGGGACUGCAUAAUUUUUAGAACUGCAGGCCAGGAUUGACCCCACAAUGAGAUAGGGACUACACGCAUAGUCAUUUAGCACCUUACGUGUACCUUAAAUUUGCCUUUUGGGCUCACAUUUGUUUCUUUUGAGACUGAAAGCCCUAAUGGUACGUUCCCGCCAAAAGUGAUGACCUGUUGGCUCGGAUCAAUCCCAGUAUCUCUCGGUUAGACACCAGCUAACAAGAAAUAUUUCAACUAUGGCGGAUGAGGCAAAUUUGCUUUGUUCGCGUCUUUAGCGCCGCCCGUUGAAUAUUUGCUAUGUCGCUACGAUUUGCAUCUGUGCAUUGAGUUUGCAUGAAAUCUACUCCCGCCAAUAAUUCGCUCCGCUUUCAGUGUGGACGCACCAUAGCGACACAAACACAUAGGCGCACUCAAAGGGGACAUGCCUUUAUUCAAGACCUGGCGAUAACAAUGUGACGAUGAGUGUGUUGGUCUGUAACAAAACAAAACCUCUGUGUCAGAUCCAGGUCGGCCCAAAUACCUGCAGGUGGUGCUUCACGAGUGAGGCCCACUAAUCUGAGAGCGGGCUCUGACCCAGAUCUCACUGAGUGGAAACCACCCUGACCAUCUGUGGGUCUCCACACCCUCCUGGCAACUCACGCUGCACACACACACACGCUCGCACAAUAACUGUAACACUAGAGACAUGGCAGAAAAUAGAGGAAUGUAGGAAAAAAGAGGAAUGUAAGGAAAAUACGGGAAAGACAGAAAUAUGAGCAUGCGAGAGAGGAGAGAAAAAGAAAAUGAAGAGCUGCAAAAAUGUUAUGAUAAUCCCGAUUGCAUUUCUCUGGUUAGUUUAACAGAGGGUCAUUAUUUUAUAGGCACCUGCAUAACGACAUCAAUGGAACAAACAGGCUUUCAAUACCAUUUUCUGGCUCUUUUUCCUCCUCUGGCAGGGAGGCGGCGGUCUGGAAGGCGGCGUUGGAGGGCAGGCGGGCAGCACGGUCGAGUCGACCUUCUGCGUCGGCUGGGUGGGAGGGCAGGAGGACACCCUACGCCCCGGCCCAGGCCUGCCGAGAGGCCAUCUGGACGGGGGAAACACAUGCAGAGUACCUGGCCAGACCUGGAGCUCAACUCUGACUCACACAAUUGCUCUCACUCACUCACACACACACACACACACACACACACACAUGCACACACACUUAUGCACCGACACAUGUAGAUAUAUUCAUCGCAUGUCGCAUGAUUUGGAGCAGAGUAGUUCUUCUCUCGCACAAACACGCACACUGGAACGUGUUACUGCAGAGCAUUUACGGCAGUCAAACAGGGACGUAUAUCUGUGGUGUGCGAAUAUGACACACAAAAUUGUCUUUGCAGCGUAUAUGUAUAACAUGAUCGGUUGAUCCAACCUGAAACGCCCACUCAAACCCCCACAUGCCUUCCCCACAGCACUCGUUGGUCUAUGGUGAUGUUAACGUUAUGCCCCUUUGAUUCUGCCUGUCGAUGAGUGUUUUACAUUUGGUUAAAACAGAUUCUGCCUGUGCUGCUCUGGAGAGUGUUGCAUUUGGUUAAAAGCCAUUAUUAUGGUAAUGUGAGGGUGCUUGAGAUAAUGGCAAGAUGAGAGCGGCUCGACUGCCUCUGACAUAACAACCCUACUCUAUCCAUCUCUUCAGUGUCUUUUCUCUCGCUCGCUCUGCACUAUAUCUCUCUAUACUUAGCCAGUUUCUCUUCCUGACUCACCUCUCUUGCUGAUUGUGGAGCUGUUGUGUUUUUUUUUGUGUUUUUUUUUACCGGCUUGCAGUGGAGCUAUUUUGUCAUUAAAAUCAAACAUUAUUGUCAGCGCUUUCGCUGUGGCCACAUUUCAACAGGGUUAAAGAGAUUGCCUUUCAUCCGUUACUGUUUAUCUGUGAAGAUGAUAUGGUAUCCAGCUUCGGCGUGUUGCUGUUAAGCCUGGGUGCUACCUGUGACAUGAUCGGCUGAAAUUGUUUUUCCCCGGGGAGAGAGGGUGGAUGUCAAAAUCACUGACGGCGGCAAAAAACAGAGGUUUGGAGAAAAGAAAAGGAGGCGGUCGAGUGAGUCUGUGGCAACAGAUCUUUCAGGUCACUGGCAUUAAAGAAUGCGGGGUGAAGAUGGAAAGAAGGACAGGGAGAAGGAGUAAGAAAGUCAAGGAGAGAUGAGCGAGAGGAGCAGAAAGAGAAAACACAGGAGAUUGAGAGCAAUGUAAUGCCAUGCACAACGAAUUUCCCUUUAAUAUGAUUUUGUGUUCUGUGUCUAUUCAAGUCAGACCUGAUUUGGUUGUGUGUUAUAAUCGCAUCAGAGCAGGGAUUUGCUGUGGCUUUUUCACUGCUGUUGUGUUGUUUUUUUCCCUCUUAUUUGAGUUGGCAUCCUCCUUCAUGACACAAAUCCCCUCCGAUAAAUUAAAAAUGAUUGAUUCAGAGUCAAAGAUGGAAACUGCACCGCAGGGAGCGAGCAAGUGUCCCCACUUGUGUCCACGCUCACGUGCGCGUUUUGAGUGCAUGCAUGUGCACCGGGGCUGCACCGUGACAUCGAUUGCAAAUCCGCGGCUCACGCAAGCGUGUGACUGCUGUCGCAGGAGUCUAUUCCUGAGUAAAGUGUGCACGCACGUUUGUGGAUACCGCAACACGGGUUGGCUUACAACUUUGGGUUCCUGAUACUUUUAAAGAAUGCGAGGGGAUGGCAGGCAGCCAAUGUGUGAACCUCAAAGCCAUCAGCGUGCGUGUAACGCACUAAGCUGCGCAUCUGAGCCAACAUCAACUAAAAGCGUGAAAUUCUGGACCCAAAAGUGUGAAAAACCACCAAGAACACGGAGUGAGCUGUGAAUACCUCCAUUAGCACUUUUACAUACAUUUAUCCACCAACACACCAUAUGUAGUCUUAAUGAAGUGAGCGUAUACUGAAUAAGUCUACUUUGUCUUACAUUCACUUACUGCUCCUAAAACAGAUAUAUGUUUGACACACACACACACGCACACACACCCUCAUUGUGGGUUCUGGCUCUCCCAAUUAAGCGGAGGAGUGUUGUGGAGCAUCGGUGUCGGGGGAUUCUGCUUUCUUCUCCUCUGUCAGGUCCCAUCACAAAGGCUCCUCAUUAGUGUCAACCUCUGCUGUGCCACCACCAUCUUCCCUCUCUGCUAUCUCUUUGACUUUCUCUCUCUCUCUCUCUCCACGUCUCCAUCUCUGCCCCCCCCCCCCCCCAUUUGACUUAUUCACAUUUGAUUUAUUGCCCAAUGGCUUUCCCGCCGUUGAUCACUGCGUCCGGCGUCGGUUCGUCUGCCUCUCGUAGCGGGAAACCUCAUCUCUCACACGGGGGCCUCGGCUGCCGGCAGCCGCGCUCUGUCACGGCGAGAGCCGUUUGUCACAUUGACAACAAACAGACGUGUUUUUACGGCGCUUUAAUGGGAAUGAGAGAAAAGAGACGUUUCAGACUAAAGGUGGCAAAGACGGUUUGAUCAUUAGACCAGCAGAAAGAAUGGAAGGAAACUUGAUUUGUGACUCGACGCGCACCAUCACAGACAUAUAAUGAUGUUAAUGAUCAAUGUGCUGCGAAACGCGGCGUCGGAAACAACAUGUAAACAAGGCGGCAGGGGAGUUGGCAUGGAAGUGUGGAGUUCAGAGAUCACUAGAUGCACGCAGAGGACAAGAUGUGGGGAGAAGGCAGUGAGAUAAAAACACGUGAUUGUUUGUUGUUGCCGUUUUUUCCCCCUGUGGAAAAGUUCCCUCUACCCUUCUCCACCCUGACAUCACCCCUUUCUUUCAUCCUUUCAUUUCCUUGCACCCUUUCUUUUCCCUCCCUGUAGCCCGUCUCCGUCUUUAUCUCCCUGUGUGUGUGACUUUCUCAAUUUAUUCUUUAAUUAAGAAAUUGAGCUUUGAUUUCAAGGAAGGGUUAUGGGUGCCAUAUUGGGAUGCAGCAUGCAAUCUUCCUCUCGCUGAGUUCCACUCCCAAAGUCCCAAAUCCCAGUCUGAACCGCUCUCUUUGUUGCUCGCUUACUCUCCCGCUCCCUUUUUUUCCCGCACAAUUUGGUAUCAAAGACAUGAUAAUUAGGCUGAACAGAAGUUCAUGUGGCUUCUAUUAUUUCUCUUUAAUUAAUAGUGUAUAAUAAUGGCGCAGAGUUACUCCAGUGCACUGUGCGAUGGUGCGAGAGAGAGAGAGAGAGAGAGAGAGAGAGAGAGAGAGAGAGAGAGAGAGAGAGAGAGAGAGAGAGAGAACGCUUGUGCACGAAUAUUUUUUAGAGCACAUAUAACUUUAAACCCUGAGAUGCUGCGCGGAUAAAAGGCGGCAAGUGUCAAAAGCCUGGAAACUUUUCUCUCCUCUCCUCUCGACUUCUCUCCUCUCCUCUCCUCUCCUCCUUUCCUCUCCUCCCCGGUGCAGCUUUCCCCCCUCCCUCCGCGGCAUUUGUGGAGACCUAAUGAGGAAAUAUCUGUCACGCUCCUCAAUCACCGGCGCAGCUGCCAUCCCUCGCCAUGUAAGUCCCAGGUAUCUGAGACUUCACUGCUUUUCCCCUGCAGAUGAAAAACAACAAAUAAAUAAAUAAACAAAUAAAAGCACAUUUAAUGCGGCGCGAUGAUGUGAGGAAGAAGAGGAAGGGGGAGUAUGAGAGGAACGACUUAAAAGGAGACACAGUGGGAACAGAGCACGGCUGAAUCCACUAAUCUCCGAGGAGGCAUAAAGUGAACAUGCCAACCACCUUCGGCUCCAAGGAAACAUUCCAUUGGUUUGGUGAUAAAUAGGAUUUAAGUUGGGGUGACAGCUCUUGUGUAUGUAUGUGUGCGCACGGGGAGCUUGGAUGUAAGUGCGCAUUUUGUGUUGUUUUUGUGUGGCUAAGCACGUUCCACUGAUACGCAGCGGCGGGCAUCCUUCCAGCUCGCCCCGCAUGCUUUGCUGCGCGCUCGCUGUGACUUAUCUCCCUAAAACAAAGAUGGAUGCGUCGGUGCGCUUAUUAAAACGCGCUUUUAGUUGUGGCCGCCACUCUUCAGGAGGAAAUCGCUUUUUGACGGCGAUUGACAGAACAGAAAAAGAGAAAACAACAUCCUCAUUUAGGCCGAGUAUCUCGGACAUGAUUGCUCGCUUUAAGCCGGCUGUUUCUAUUGAGGUUUUUUAAUUGUUGUUUGCUUCUUUUUGCUCAGAGCUCCGUAUUCAUCGGCCAGGCGGCCAUGCUUGGAAUCUUUAAUUACCUUCAAUGCUGCUCCCCUUAUUUCAAACAAUUGCAUGAUUAAAUGGGUGCUCUGCAGUAAAUAUAUGCUUUUUCCUUCCUGCCUCCUCACAAAUAAAAAAACACAGUUAAGUCAACACUUUUUUUUUGUUUGUUAAACUGUUGAGCUUUUUUUUUUUUUAAGCCACAGUGCACAAACCCACAAAGGCUUCACUCGUUCGGUGGCAGAGUGGCAGCCUGGUUUUUUAAUGCACCGCGCUCAGAUUCAAUCCAGCUUCUCCUCUAUCACGUUAUCGCGCAGACAUGAUGGUGUCAGCUUACAGAGGAAAUGAAAGGUUGUUGUUGACAAAUCAACGCUGACAAGAGUAGCUGAAGAGAUCCCUGCAGCUUCACGCAGGAUUAGCCGUGUGCCAUCUUACAGACAAACACAGUGGCCCAUGUGUUGCUAUUUCCAUCAGAGAUGAAAACAAAGGCAGAGGGAGAGGAAGGCUUGUCUUAAAUCUUGGCGAGAUGAGGGGCUUUCUUCAUUCAGCAUUAGCAGAUUAGACGUGUUUUAUGGGCCGAUCACUCUGGAUCAUGUCGCUGGUGUGUAAACGUCGGAACGCAGCGGGGCGAAAAAAUAGGGGGUUGGUUCACUUAUAGAUAAUUAAAGAUGGAAAACAAUAUGGAAUGAGAAACAUUGUCAUCUGUUAUGAUGUAGCGUUAAUAUAACACAUCUAGCUCCGUCUGAGGAGGCUUUGAAGAGACUGUCAGCUGAGUUCAGGUUUCCUGUACGUUUGAUCUCAAACGGAUUCUUUAUUCAUGAACCGCAUGGCUAAAAUGCCAUUUGCGCACAUAUAGCUGUCACUCGCGUCAGUACUUAGCUUUUCCAUGCAUGCUGUUAUGAACAGAAAAACAGGGCAAAGGACUGAAUCUUCUAUCUGACCAACGUAUGCUCCACUCCGCCAGCUACGAUAAAGCCACACUUUCAGUCACGCAACAGUUCCAGUUCAAUUCUUUUCCUUCUUUUCUCCAUGUUUCCCGAUUUGCUUCUGAAGUCUUGCCAGAGUAAUUGAGGUCAUCUCUGGGAAGAGAAGAAAGGGAAGUAUAGAGGAAAAGUGUAGGGAGGCAGGCAGAGGGGGCCUGCCAGCACAUCAGAACAGGGCUUACAUAAGUUCAGCUAAAACUCACCUCUCUCUCACGCUCUCAUCGACAGCCGAGGACUUUCAGCUGCCGCUCAGGUCUUGUGCAAAGAUGUUUCUGUGUGUGUGGAACUCUUGCAAACACCCAUCACACUCAUCAUUCCCCCAACGUCGAAACACAGAAGCCACCUGGGGUACAAAUUCUCACUGUGUCUUUAGUUGUCAGACCUUGCCUGAUAUGCGCCACCUUACCCGCAGAACAACAGUAUGAACAAGCUGGAAGAAAUGUUCUGUCACGCCAGGAUAAUCAAUUAACUCCAGAUCAAUGGAAGUCCUGUUGGUAAUAAAUCUGUCAGCCAGUAAAUCACUGAUGGCUUUCAACGCUGAUGCUUCUAAGACCAUUCUGUUUACAAGACAAGACAAACGAAGAUUUACCCGAAUGUAGAAUUCAAAUGAUUCAAUUCAAACAUAAAAAAAUUUCAAUGUGUGAGAACAGAGCUCAUCAGUCUUUGUAGGUUGAUCAGAGGAUACCUGUUGAUGUUCAUGGUCGACUCUUACAAAAGACAUCGGGGGAGCUGUGCCAAAUCACUCCCCGAGGCUUUGUCCACUACGAGGUGCUGGUCUCGAGCCGAGAUUGACAAUGGACACGAUGGCCGUUUUCAGCGUCUAUGCUCCCCGACUUCUGUAGAAAACAAAACACUCUUAUACUGUCUCUCUGCCACUCACAACACGCGUGUGUUUGUAAUAGGACGCUUAAUUAAUAACUCCACAUCAGCACCAUUAACCGCAGCAAUGACCUGUUCGGGAACUCUGAACCCUUGUUAUGGGUGACUUCACUUAGAAAUCUAAAACUCUUGGUACAAAGUUAGAUUGACCAGCAAGCACGAGCGCAUUGUGCACACGCGCCUCCCAUCAGGUCGGCGCUAUCAUCAGCUCAUAAUCAAUUUUGUCAGCCUCUAAUGUGGCUCUGAGUUUGAGCGAGGUCGAGCCGUGUUGGGUGCAAUCUGCUGCCCAUGUUAGAAACGCCUCUGUCUGCUUCCUGCCAUCUCCAGAGGGGACGGCCUCUACAAGCCAAGUCCUUCCCCGUCCUGUGCCCUCAUGUGCCACCGUGCCCAGUCGUGUGGACAUCUGCCAUUCUGACUGGUGUCAGCGCCCGUUGACUCUCUUUGGCUAACGACUUCUGACACUCCUUCACCCCGGGGCGCCGCGCCGCGGCGAGUGGUGGGCAUCUCAUUUGUAUGGCGCAUCUACAAACCAGCAGACACAUUGACCUAUUCUUUUGGCUUUAGCGUCAAUGUCAGCCAAGCGGCCCGCCGCUCGUUCGCUCCGAACACCUCCAGAUACACCCGGAUGCCAGGCAACCCUUUCGCUGGGAAACAUCAAAGAGACAAAUAUGCGCGCCGGCGAACAUGUCUAUCAGGGGAGCGGUGGAAUUAACCCUUUCAGCGGUGCACCUCUGGGACAACUUCAAACACUUAAGGACGCCAGGGGCAGGAACGGCUAGUGAUUACCACAGCGCCUACAGCGGUUGCUAUAGUGACAGCUAAGAAUCCGAAAGAAAGUCUGCUCCCAUAUUGUGCGGUUCCGGCUCUCAAGUACCCAACACAAACUUUAUGUAGAAGUGCUAUCAGCACAAGUUUCUUCUUAACUUUGAGGCAGUGGAAAAUGUGGUGGGUUGCUUGUGCACAUCAGCACAUCAGGCUCCUACAGGCCGGUAUUAAAUGACUCUACUGUUGACCAACAACAGUAUGGAUCCUCUGUGUGCCAUAUAUCCCAGACAUAUUGUUGUAUAAGUGUUAGCUGGGGGGCAUCCUUCUCUCCUGACUGUCUGCCUGUUCUGAUUUCACGCUUACCCUAAGCGCACAUUAUGUAUCAAACGACGUAGCGUGCUUCCACUGCCCUGCACGCCGCCACGAAGACGUUGUAUUAAUGCUGUGCUCUGAAGCCGUUCCUUGGUGUAAACACGGAGGCAGAAAAUAUGCUAGAGCCGCACCGCUGCUCGUGUCUACCACAGACCUGUGACACAGUCAAGAGACUGGAAAUAGCUUUGGGUCAUUGAGUAAUCCCACAAGUUUCAGGACUAUGAAGCCUGUCCCUUCCAUGCAAGCCGUUGUAUACUCAUUAUAAAAGAAAAGGGGCCGAGGUGUAUUUGUAUGAGUCCCAGGUAUGUCACGUUAUGAUUACCUAUGGUGGGAUAAUUCUCAGCUUCAUAAAGAUGGUGGGUGCACAGCAACGUCCAGAGGAGCGUGAGUGUGUGUACGUGCAGUAUUGCGAGCGCGUUAGUACGCAUGUGUGUGUGUGUGUACGUCGGAGCUAGGAGGGCAUUGUCGCACCAAAAGAUCAAUUUAAAGGUAAUAUGGUCUGUCUUUCUAAAGGUGAGGAGACGGGAGGGAGGUAACGGUGAGCGAGGAGAGAGAUGAGAGCAUGUGUGGACUUGAAAGCCUCUGGGCCUUUAAGAGAUUACUGCCUUAUUGCUUUGAGACUAGCCAAUCUGACAUCAGCUGUGUAGCGCUAAGAACAGCUGACCACACAUGGACACACACAUGGACCCAGUAAUAAAGACAGCAACACAAAACUCAGGGAAAAACGGCAUAAAGCAAUGACGCACAAAAUGAUGGUCAAAGGAAACAAGAUGAGAGAGACACGUGAAUCGAGGGCCAAUAGAAAUCUUUCCUUCUCUGUCUUUCAAGGGUUAUAAAACAUGAUGUUCUUGCUGAUGUUAGUUAGUUGUUCUUCCGGCCUGUGUGCUGCCUGAACUGCUCCUGCCUUUGCAAACGCAGCGCUGAUACUUGACCUGUGAUCUGACAAAUAAAUUUUCCAGAACGAGAGAAGUCAUUCGGCUGAAUUUUUGAUAACCCCGACCAGGCUCCAAAUCUUGAACACGUAUUCUUACAAUACCUAAGUACACGAGGACCGAUUUGUGUUGUGAUUAAUACCACAAAUAAUGUUCCACAGGACAGAAAGCCAUGUGUUAAGAAGAGCAGGAGUUUCAGGCGGGUGGGUGGACAGGCUGAGGCGGGCGAGAAGAGGUCCUUCCUGGGGGAGGCAGAGCGGGGCAGCGUGGGAGAGACACUGAGGAAAACCCAUGGAGCAAAAGAGUGGCGGCAAUCAAUUCAAAAUCAGAAUUAAGUGAAUUGUGUUGGUGGCAAAAAGAGGGAACAAUGGGGAGGGGUGAGGGGAACGCUGGGGGGGUGGGGACAGAAGGGGUGUGGAGCACGAGUGGAAGAGACAGAGAGAGGUAGUCCCGUUCAUCGCCCCCUCAGCUCGUCGGGAGGAGAGAGGAGAGCCUGGUUGCCGGUAGCCGCCCACAGAGCAGCGGUAACCAGGGGAGUCCUGCUCCUGCCUGCCUGCCUCCCACUCUACAUCCAGUACCAGCCAGUACCUUUCCUCCCACCACAGGGCUACUUACAGACUCUACUUAUUACCUCACCCACACACACACACACACACACACACAGUGAAAUAGUGAAAAUGAAUCCCGAAACAAAUGGUGAGAAAACUUUGAUGCGACCCUCCGUGGGGGGUUUCCUCUGACAGAGUGCGUGUUCAGUUGGCAUGUUGGUUCAUGUGUCAGGUUUUGGGUGGAGUUCCGUUAGGGCUGGCGUCUGCGUCUUUACGCACCGCUGUGUCGACGCGCUCGUUUCAAUUCAUGGUUCUAAAAGGCCUCCGCGUGAUGCAAAGCAAUUCACCGCCAGAACAACAGGUGGAGGAAGGUUUUGGUGUGUGGAAGUCGUUGGUUUGUUUAUUUAUUCAUCAGAGACUUUUUUGCCCCGUGCAUCGCCACUGCUGCUUUUCAUCGCAGACACAUUUGUUCCGUAUUUUCCUCCACAACUUUGUUCGCCUCUCGACCAGCAAACCGACGUUUGCAGAGAUCUCCCUCCAUGAAUCAGAGGCCAUCCGCGCCACCUUAUAGUCCGGCAAUGGCGGCUUGUAUAAGUGGACAUCUUUGCGCAUUUCUUCCGACAAAAGCUCUUCAAUCUGAUCCGAUCUCUCGUAAACAUUCUUCGUUUUAAUAAUGGCGGUAUUGUGCUAUGAAAACGGAAAUGUGAGACUCCGUAAAAGGAUGUAGUUAGCAGACCAAUCACAGCCUUGCGGGCUGCAGGAGGCUUGAGUAGCUUUUGACGCUAGUCUAGAAAAAUGGGUCGAGCACGCAAGGAGGUGUGAAAAGACACGCAAGGGGGUCUUGCAUCUGCGUGUCCUUGCGUCUCUCUGAAAACGCAGAAGCAUAAACUAGGCUUUAGUUUCAGCACACCGGACAGCUGCCCUGCAGAGCAGCCUCACACACUGGGUAAGAUGGUGAAAACAUGCACAGGGGAUGAUGUGGUAGAUAGUAACCAGUAGCCUGUAUCUCAGCAUGCAAAUUAGACACAUGACAAAACUGACACCCAUGCAGCUCAGUAGAAGAGACGCAAUGAGUUCAUUCAGCUGUUUGCUGGGGACUGAACCUCGUCAUUUCAUAUUGUGUUAGUGUUCAUAUUAUAUAAUUGAUGUUUGUUUUGUAUGAAUGCGGCUUCCAGGGGUCUGUUAAGGGCAAUACCUGUUUGGAAAAAAGUUUGACAUCUGUUUUGUUUUAGUUUUCUGGUACGAGUACAUUGGCAACAUCGUGAAGUCUCAGCUCAUUGCAUUCUUAACACGAUCUCAAAGCCGCUGCUUUGUUUUGAGCUGUCACAUGAUGUCAGUGAGUUGUAGCUCAACUUCUGUUGAUCUUAGCAUGGCUAAGUAAAUAAAACAGACUUGUCUAAUGUUAUCACAAUGUUAACAUGAAAUUGUGUUUUAUAAAGUGUAUUUAUUGACAUGAGUUUAAUGACAAUCCAUAAAAAACACGUGAUAACUCGGUAUCAAUCAAAGUGGUAGACCAACGGACCGACAGGUUUUACCGUCCAUACAGCCACAUCACAAGCAUGGAUACAAAUAACAAUGCAAAAAAAUCUUUGAUUGUACAAAAAAAAUAUUUUACUGUGUUAAUGAAAGAUACAAAUGUUCUAUCAAGCGUCUCAGGCUUCAUACACUGCUUUUAACCACAUUAGCAAAAGGAGAGAAGCAGUUUGAACAGAUUUGAUGAGUCAAUACAUAUUUGGCCUUACUCGCGGCCUUCAAAUGGAAGUGGCUCAGUCCUUUUAAACAGAUCGGUAGCAAUACAGGCUUUGUGGUAGGGCUUCUUUGUUUUCUUAGCAUGCCUCACAAUAUAUUGUUUGUACACAUAAGCGUCACCUAUUGCCAACAAUAUGUACUGUGGCUCCACAGGAGGACAACAAUACUCACGCCUGGUCUGUGGCCUUGGGAUGCAGAGUGCAGUGGGGAGAGGAAGCGAGGGAGUGAAAGCAUGCGACUGAUAAAGAUGUAAAGCAAAAACGGCUUAGAGGGGGAAAAGGGAGAAGAAAGAGUCUCAUAGCGAGGGAGAAAUCCAGAGGCCGACUCACACCGGCGAACAUAACCCCCUCAGAGGACACACACAGAACCAGGCAGGGAGACGCAGCGAGGCAGUGAGAGGUAUCCAGAAACAGUGAGUGGGAGGGAGGUUAGCCCUCGGGCUUUCCCCAGAAACCAGCAGCCUCAUUACAAAAGCAAACACACCAGUGCAGAGAGAGGGUGAAGCGGGUUUCCCCCACGCUGCAACAGCUGGGGGGGCCGCCAUCACUGCGAGACGUCGGCGCCAGCAACAACACCUAUAGGCAGCAGAGAGCAGGCAGAACGCAAAACACGUAUUACCGACUGACCCCAAUGCACCGCGCAGUGCGUCCUGAUGAGCGCACUGACGCGCUGAAAACAAACGUCUGCGAGUUGUACAUGGGGGAGUCACCAGCUUCUGACUUUCCAGGAGUUUUAUUUUUGUUCGCGUGGCGGUUUUGUACAAAAAGGAAAACAGGAUCACAAGGAAGUAAAACCCAUUGUCAGAUGAUUUUAUAAUAUUUAUGAAGCCAUAUCUAGAGGGAUGCGUUUCAUUAUUCAAGGCGGCAUUUGUAGCGCGCAUGUGUGUGUGUGUGUGUGUGUGUGUGUGUGUGUGUGUGUG